UUCAGCGGUACGCGAAGGGGAAUUCAAGUGCCCAUGUUUUGCGUGGGCUGUUUUUUGGUCUAAAUAACCUUUAGGAGUAAGGGCUGGGCAAGACCGGUGCCAGCAGCCGCGUAAAUAUA
rnacentral:rRNA from 1 species